rnacentral:rRNA from 1 species
AGGAGUUUGAUCCUGGCUCAGAUUGAACGCUGGCGGCAUGCCUAACACAUGCAAGUCGAACGGAAACGAUGGGAGCUUGCUCCCAGGCGUCGAGUGGCGGACGGGUGAGUAAUGCUUAGGAAUCUGCCCAGUAGUGGGGGACAACUCGAGGAAACUCGAGCUAAUACCGCAUACGCCCUACGGGGGAAAGCGGAGGAUCUUUCGGGACUUCGCGCUAUUGGAUGAGCCUAAGUCGGAUUAGCUUGUUGGUGAGGUAAAAGCUCACCAAGGCGACGAUCCGUAGCUGGUCUGAGAGGACGAUCAGCCACACUGGGACUGAGACACGGCCCAGACUCCUACGGGAGGCAGCAGUGGGGAAUAUUGCACAAUGGGCGAAAGCCUGAUGCAGCAAUGCCGCGUGUGUGAAGAAGGCCUGCGGGUUGUAAAGCACUUUCAGUAGAGAAGAAAAGUUUAGGGUUAAUACCCCUGAAUCUUGACGUUACCUACAGAAGAAGCUCCGGCUAACUCCGUGCCAGCAGCCGCGGUAAUACGGAGGGAGCGAGCGUUAAUCGGAAUUACUGGGCGUAAAGCGCGCGUAGGUGGCUCUUUAAGUCGGAUGUGAAAGCCCUGGGCUCAACCUGGGAAUUGCAUUCGAAACUGCAGAGCUAGAGUAUGGUAGAGGGAAGUGGAAUUUCCGGUGUAGCGGUGAAAUGCGUAGAU